rnacentral:tRNA from 1 species
GUCUCGGUAGAGCAGUGGUUUAGCUUGUCUGCUUCCCAAGCAGGAGACACGGGUUCGAAUCCCGUCCGGGACA